ACUCAAAUGAAUAGACGGGGGCCCGCACAAGCGGUGGAGCAUGUGGUUUAAUUCGACGCAACGCGAAGAACCUUACCUACCCUUGACAUUUUUGGAAUCUUUUAGAGAUAGAGGAGUGCCCGAAAGGGAACCAGAGAACAGGUGCUGCAUGGCUGUCGUCAGCUCGUGUCGUGAGAUGUUGGGUUAAGUCCCGUAACGAGCGCAACCCUUGUCCUUAGUUGCUAACAGGUAAAGCUGAGAACUCUAGGGAGACUGCCGGUGAUAAGCCGGAGGAAGGUGGGGAUGACGUCAAGUCCUCAUGGCCCUUACGGGUAGGGCGACACACGUGCUACAAUGGACGAUACAGAGGGAAGCGAAGCCGCGAGGUGAAGCGAAUCUCAGAAAGUCGUUCGUAGUCCGGAUUGGAGUCUGCAACUCGACUCCAUGAAGUUGGAAUCGCUAGUAAUCGCGGAUCAGAACGCCGCGGUGAAUACGUUCCCGGGCCUUGUACACACCGCCCGU
rnacentral:rRNA from 1 species